AGCGCCGAUGGUACUGCAGCAAUGUGGGAGAGUAGGACGACGCCCUAU
rnacentral:rRNA from 1 species